AACGUAGGGGGCCAGCGUUGCUCGGAAUUACUGGGCGUAAAGGGUCUGUAGGCGGUGCGGCAAGUCGGAAGUGAAAUCGCAGGGCUUAACUCUGCGGCUGCUUCCGAAACUGCCGUGCUCGAGUGUGAGAUAGGCGAGUGGAAUUGCAGGUGUAGCGGUGAAAUGCGUAGAUAUCUGCAGGAACAUCCGAGGCGAAAGCGGCUCGCUGGAUCACAACUGACGCUGAGAGACGAAAGCUAGGGGAGCAAACAGG
rnacentral:rRNA from 2 species